rnacentral:rRNA from 1 species
UUGGAGGGCAAGUCUGGUGCCAGCAGCCGCGGUAAUUCCAGCUCCAAUAGCGUAUAUUAAAGUUGUUGCAGUUAAAAAGCUCGUAGUUGAAUUUCGGGAUUGACACAUCGGUCGUGCCUUAAGGGGUAUGAACUGGUGUAGUCAAUUUCUCACCUUCUGGAGAACCGCGAUGCCCUUAAUUGGGUGUCACGGGGAACCAGGACCUAUACUUUGAAAAAAUUAGAGUGUUUAAAGCAGGCAUUUUGCUUGAAUACAUUAGCAUGGAAUAAUAAAAUAGGACGGCAUGAUUCUAUUUUGUUGGUUUCUAGGAUCACCGUAAUGAUUAAUAGGGAUAGUUGGGGGCAUUAGUAUUCAAUUGUCAGAGGUGAAAUUCUUGGAUUUAUUGAAGACUAACUACUGCGAAAGCAUUUGCCAAGGAUGUUUUCAUUAAUCAAGAACGAAAGUUAGGGGAUCGAAGACGAUCAGAUACCGUCGUAGUCUUAACCAUAAACUAUGCCGACUAGGAAUCAGACGAUGUUAAUUUUUUAAUGACUCGUUUGGCACCUUACGGGAAACCAAAGUGUUUGGGUUC